rnacentral:tRNA from 1 species
AAAAUUUUAAGUUAUAACUAAACUUUAAGCCUUCAAAGCUUAGUAAAUAAUCUCUCUUUAUAAAUUUUA